rnacentral:rRNA from 1 species
CCCUUAGAUGUUCUGGGCCGCACGCGCGCUACACUGAUGCAUUCAACGAGCCUAUCCUUGACCGACAGGUCCGGGUAAUCUUUGAAUCUGCAUCGUGACGGGGAUAGAUUAUUGCAAUUAUUAAUCUUCAACGAGGAAUGCCUAGUAGGCGCAAGUCAUCAGCUUGCGUCGAUUACGUCCCUGCCCUUUGUACACACCGCCCGUCGCUCCUACCGAUUGGGUGUGCUGGUGAAAUGUUCGGAUCGGCCGUUUGUCGCGGUUUCCGCGGCUCGUGGCUGAGAAGUUCAUUAAACCCUCCCACCUAGAGGAAGGAGAAGUCGUAAUA